AGUUAAUUUACAUAUAACAAAUUGUGGUUUGGCUUGAGGCUUGGAGCAGACGAUUCUGUCCUAGUGGCUUUGUUGCAUAACCAUUCCGUUAUGUCGUGACUUUUAACAGUUUCAACGCAACUUAGCACAGGUAUGCCGUGACACGGAAGCCACUUCGCAGUUGAGACGGCCGUUAAACUGAUAACCAAUGAGAGCGCCAGAAAGCACCGGGCGCCGAAAAAGUAGACACAAGAGAUACAAACGCACCAAAAAUAAUCAACAGCGCAAAGCUAAAAAAACAACUCUAACUUUAUUCAAAAUGUAGAGGUGAGCUCCCUGUGGCAUAACCGCACACUGCCAGCAAUGUGAGGCGGUAUUGACCAAAUGUGAUUUGAUUACUGUAGGUUCAUUAAAUAUGCGAGCAUAAAGUGGUGGUGAAACAUCCCGGUGAUCGAAUUUGUAGAGGUGGGUUCCCUGUGGUUAUGCACCGGGGGCGACUGGAUACGUGAAGGUGAAAAAGCACAAGAGAAACGAUGGACUUAUGCUUUAUUUACAUACACACAUGCACUAUCAAUACAAAGUUCAUUCAGGUGUUCGACACUGUUUUUCAGACGUCCCGUAGAGAGUGUCCCUCUCUUGAUUUGAGGGGGUCUCCCCGCGAUCGGUGGGGUUUACUUCAUGUAUUUGUCAGCUUGUUCGGCUAGGAGUUUGGCUGAGGAUUUGGCAUCGUAAAACAACUCGUUGAUCUCCUCGACGUCGCCCUUAUUAAUAGUGUCACGGCCUUUGCACAACAACAAAAAUAAUUAGUAAUCGUACAAGUGUCAGCGGAUACAGGGUAGGGUACUCGCUCGAAAAGUUCGUUCCUCUAAGUUGGAGUCAUAGAUCACGCCUGUUUCGGUUUCUUCGGACAAACUUAUCUCAUCAAAAUUCUUGUAAGGCUUUCAAUUGAUUAAAAAUAUAACUAUUAAGUUA